UAUUUUGUCAUUAUUACUUUGUAUGAUACAAUAAAUCGUACAUGAAAUCAACCCAAAUUUAAUUUGUCACAUCUCGUAGUGCAGUUCUGAUAUGACCAACAUAUCGCUUUUAAAUAGUUACAUAUGAACUAGUAAUAAGUUUGAAUUUAACAAAUCCUUCCCCACCAGAUUAUUCCACGGAUACCCUAAAAAAAGAAUUAUUAUAUAGAAAUGCUGCAACCUAAUUGAAACCUAUGUAUGUUCCGCCCUUUGUCUGACUAACAGAAUAUCUGCACAAAUCAAAGAGAAGUUGAGGAGUAAUUUAUUUUAUAAGAGGAAAAAACAAAGCUUGUGACAUAUUCACAUUUUUGGGUUAUCAUAUUAGGGUGCGUUCUUUUUUAUUAAAAUUUUAUAAGGGAUCAUUUUUCUUCAACAACAUAGGAAAAAUAUUGACAGCGAAUUUUCUUUUAUUUUCACUCCAAUUCAUGGUAAUAUUAUCAUGAGAUAAUAAUAUACUUUUUCUUUUAAAAAAAAUGAGACAAAAAAUAAUGUGAUAAAAAAUUAUUUAUUUUAUCUUUCAUUUUUUUUUCACGAUAAAAUUAUAAUGAAAAAGAAUAUAUUUUCUUGUAAAAUAAGAUUAAUAAUGCGAGAGAUGCGUAAAUCUUGAAAUUUGGAAAGAAAAAAAAUACCGAGAUCUGUCUUUGUCGAUGGAGACGAUUCCAGUUAAGAAAUGAAUAUAAAAAGGGAGACCCACCUGUUUCGUUUGGGAUCUCACCCAUUCACCACCACCACUUCUCCA
rnacentral:lncRNA from 1 species